rnacentral:rRNA from 1 species
GUUUAGUUGGGGAUAGCUAUUAGAAAUAGUAGAUAAUACCGAAUGUGACCAUUACAGUUUAGAGUGUAAUGAGGGAAGGAGCUAAGGCUCCGCUAGAAGAUUGGCCCGCGGCCCAUUAGCUAGGUUGGUGAGGUAACGGCCCACCAAGGCAAUGAUGGGUAUCCGGCCUGAGAGGGUGAUCGGACACAUUGGGACUGAGAUACGGCCCAGACUCCUACGGGAGGCAGCAGCUAAGAAUAUUCCACAAUGGACGAAAGUCUGAUGGAGCGACGCCGCGUGGAUUGAUGAAGGCCGAAAGGUUGUAAAAUCCUUUUAAACUGGAAGAAUAAUCAUGGUAGGGAAUGACCGUGAGGUGACCGUACAGUUUGAAUAAGCAACGGCUAAUUACGUGCCAGCCGCAGC